GAUUCCCCCAGUAGCGGCGAGCGAACGGGGAGCAGCCCAGAGCCUGAAUCAGUGUGUGUGUUAGUGGAAGCGUCUGGAAAGGCGUGCGAUACAGGGUGACAGCCCCGUACACAAAAAUGCACAUACUGUGAGCUCGAUGAGUAGGGCGGGACACGUGGUAUCCUGUCUGAAUAUGGGGGGACCAUCCUCCAAGGCUAAAUACUCCUGACUGACCGAUAGUGAACCAGUACCGUGAGGGAAAGGCGAAAAGAACCCCGGCGAGGGGAGUGAAAAAGAACCUGAAACCGUGUACGUACAAGCAGUGGGAGCACGCUUAGGCGUGUGACUGCGUACCUUUUGUAUAAUGGGUCAGCGACUUAUAUUCUGUAGCAAGGUUAACCGAAUAGGGGAGCCGAAGGGAAACCGAGUCUUAACUGGGCGUUAAGUUGCAGGGUAUAGACCCGAAACCCGGUGAUCUAGCCAUGGGCAGGUUGAAGGUUGGGUAACACUAACUGGAGGACCGAACCGACUAAUGUUGAAAAAUUAGCGGAUGACUUGUGGCUGGGGGUGAAAGGCCAAUCAAACCGGGAGAUAGCUGGUUCUCCCCGAAAGCUAUUUAGGUAGCGCCUCGUGAAUUCAUCUCCGGGGGUAGAGCACUGUUUCGGCAAGGGGGUCAUCCCGACUUACCAACCCGAUGCAAACUGCGAAUACCGGAGAAUGUUAUCACGGGAGACACACGGCGGGUGCUAACGUCCGUCGUGAAGAGGGAAACAACCCAGACCGCCAGCUAAGGUCCCAAAGUCAUGGUUAAGUGGGAAACGAUGUGGGAAGGCCCAGACAGCCAGGAUGUUGGCUUAGAAGCAGCCAUCAUUUAAAGAAAGCGUAAUAGCUCACUGGUCGAGUCGGCCUGCGCGGAAGAUGUAACGGGGCUAAACCAUGCACCGAAGCUGCGGCAGCGACGCUUAUGCGUUGUUGGGUAGGGGAGCGUUCUGUAAGCCUGUGAAGGUGUGCUGUGAGGUAUGCUGGAGGUAUCAGAAGUGCGAAUGCUGACAUAAGUAACGAUAAAGCGGGUGAAAAGCCCGCUCGCCGGAAGACCAAGGGUUCCUGUCCAACGUUAAUCGGGGCAGGGUGAGUCGACCCCUAAGGCGAGGCCGAAAGGCGUAGUCGAUGGGAAACAGGUUAAUAUUCCUGUACUUGGUGUUACUGCGAAGGGGGGACGGAGAAGGCUAUGUUGGCCGGGCGACGGUUGUCCCGGUUUAAGCGUGUAGGCUGGUUUUCCAGGCAAAUCCGGAAAAUCAAGGCCGAG
rnacentral:rRNA from 1 species